rnacentral:sRNA from 1 species
AUACCCCAUGAUGCUCAGGUCCGCCGCAUCUCCUGGGUCGUGGGGUCGGUCGAUCGAUUGCAUGUCUCGGUUCCUCGUGCCGUAUUGCAGUCGGUCGACCCCCAA